rnacentral:rRNA from 1 species
CUACGGGCGGCUGCAGUGGGGAAUAUUGCACAAUGGGCGCAAGCCUGAUGCAGCCAUGCCGCGUGUAUGAAGAAGGCCUUCGGGUUGUAAAGUACUUUCAGCGGGGAGGAAGGGAGUAAAGUUAAUACCUUUGCUCAUUGACGUUACCCGCAGAAGAAGCACCGGCUAACUCCGUGCCAGCAGCCGCGGUAAUACGGAGGGUGCAAGCGUUAAUCGGAAUUACUGGGCGUAAAGCGCACGCAGGCGGUUUGUUAAGUCAGAUGUGAAAUCCCCGGGCUCAACCUGGGAACUGCGUCUGAUACUGGCAAGCUUGAGUCUCAUAGAGGGGGGUAGAAUUCCAGGUGUAGCGGUGAAAUGCGUAGAGAUCUGGAGGAAUACCGGUGGCGAAGGCGGCCCCCUGGACGAAGACUGACGCUCAGGUGCGAAAGCGUGGGGAGCAAACAGGAUUAGAUACCCCCGUAGUC